GUAUAUUAUAUAGGGGUGUGUAUAUUAUAUAGGGGUGUAUAACCACAAUAGAAAUAUAUUAGUGGCUAUAUGAGGAGGACUGUGUGUAUAACAAGAGAUUAUAUAGAAGAGCUCAGCUGUACAGAGGAAUUCAUGAGAGGCCUGUGUGGAAGUUACAGAAUGUCACACGCUGUUGUUAAGCCUUUGUGUGUGUAUGUGUGUGUGUGUGUGUGUAUCUGUAUGUGUGUGUAUGUGUUUCUCCCCAGUAACAGUGAGGCUGCUCUUAGUCUCAUUUCCUCGCUCACUUCUCACAACCGCUUCCAAAAAUAUCCACACCAGGGGCUGCCUGAUUGACAUCUCCUGCCGUUGCCAUGGAUACCGGGCGGCUCUCACUCAGAGCACGAACCCACCCAUCUUUUCUGCCCUAAGCAUUGGCUAGUGCUGGUGCCACUUGUACAUCCUCUCUGAUGGGAUUGGUUGCAGAGUUAGACCCGCCUGCUGGCGCUUGCGUAGUUAGAAGCCAGUGUUGUUGAGGCGAGCUGGUGGCGUGAUGGCGCAGAACGGGCCGGUUGGGCCUGACAGUACCGGGAGUGGGAAGGAGCAUCAAACACCUCGGCGCGGUGCCAGCUUCUCCGAUAGUCCUUGUGCUUCGGCCGGGGCUCCUCGGGAGAGGCUUAGUUCGAGCUCAAGGCCGCGCCUGGAAUCUGUGGGGAGGAACAGACCGUAUUUGGAAAUAUGAUGAGCAAAGAAAAAAGGGAUUUCGUUUACAAAGAAGACUUGUCCAGAGCAACACUAGUUACAAUUACAAAUAACAUUGGCUCUAUAGCUCAGAUGUGAGGUGUCAAUGAGAGCAGCCAGGGGGGAGGGAGAGCGAGAGAGACUGGAUCGCAUGUUACCGGUAAUUUACAGCAGCUGAAAACCGUCACAAUCAACCUGCGUCGGCACCGGAAUAUGCGGAAGGGGCCAUGUGAUCUUUUCUUCCAUGAAAGCUCUGCCGCCCCAGGUCCUAAAGCCCCUGGAUUGCAUGUUAAUUUACAGCAGGCACCGAGAACCUGAAAACCGGCACAAUGAACUCAGCACCGGAAGAUGCGGAAGGGGCCAUGUAAUCUUUUCUUCCAUGAAGUCUCUGCCGCCUCAGGUCCUAAAGCCCACUGGAUCGCAUGCCAAUUUACAGCAGGGGCUGGACGCCCCUGCAGCAACAAUAAUUACGGUAAUGCAUUGAAAAUGGCUUCCGGCUGAGCUAAUGCAUACAGCCAGGAACGAGGCAGCUGUGUGGGCCACAGGAGGAACUUUCAUGGGCACAAAUUGAUGCGAUUUGGGUAAUGACUCGAGUAUAAGCCAAGGUAGACUUUUUCAGCACAUUUUGGGUGCUGAAAAACUCUGCUUAUACUCGAGUAUAUACGGUACUUGUAAACUUGGUCCAGUCAGCUCCGUUUUCACCUUUUCGUUCAGAAAGAUCCCAGUGCAGGUGCAGUUAAUGGCCACCAUCCAUUCAUGUACUAUAGAAGUCUUGAAGCACAGCACCGGUUUAUGUUUAAAACUAAAAAGCCUUUAUUAAGCACAUUUGCCAAUGAUCUGGAUACAGCGACGUUUCAGGCCCUAUGGCCUUUUCUCAAGCUCACCAGCUGCUACAAAGUUAAUUCCUUUUAUACACAGAAGGCGAUACGGCCUUAUCUUUACUUAUAACUUUGUUACAAUGCUUCUCACUAAUAAAAACGAAAAUGUUACAAUCUUACAGAUAAUGUAUUCAUGCACAAUGUCACAGAGUAUCUUGUUAUCUUACAUCCUGUUCUAAAUCCUUUCCUUAAUCUCUUCAAGAACAAUUAGAUAAAUAUUUAAAAGCACAUUAAAAACAAUCCGUUACGAAAAGUUGCCUGAAGAUCGUAUUCCCUAUUUAACCCAUAGGGUACAAGGGUCUCGAGUUUCCUUAUCCAUUGAGCCUCCCUUUUUAAUAAUAUUUUUAUGCGACCACCCCCUCUACGUAUUUUGGGAACAUAAUCCACAAUUUAGUAUUUGAGUUGCUGUAUCCCACGGCGCAUUUCUACAACGUGUGCCGCCACUGCUUGCUCCGUUUUUUUAGUUCUUAUUGCCGAUUUGUGUUCCCUGAUUCGCUCUCUUACAGUGCGGCUUGUCUGACCUACAUAAAGUAGUCCACAGGGACACUUAAUUACAUAUACAGCAAAAGAAGUGGCACAAGUGUAGUAACCCUGUAGUUUAAUUGGGGUUCCUUUUCACCGAUGGUAUAUCACGCUGCCUUUCUGGCAGUUCGAGCAGCAAUUACACCCCAAACAGGGAAAAGUGCCAUGUUUGACUGGGUGCAGCACACUCUGAGUUUUCUUUACACUUCCGAUUUUACUAACAUGGAUCCUAUAGUUUUACUACGUUUAUACGACAUUACUGGGGGUUGUUGGAUACAACCAACCCCUGGUAAAUCGUCUCUUAAAACUCCCCAAUGCUUUCUUAUAAUGUCAGCAAUCUGGUGACUCUAUUCUAUCUCGAGACAAAGGGAAUGCGAUCCAUCUGUCUGUAAUUCCGACCUUGUAUCAUACUUUCUCUUUCAGUUUUAUCAAUUUCCCUCCUCUGUCUUUCCAAUUUGGGUACCCUCUCUCUCUCUGAAUUUCUCCUCCAUCUCGUCUAACCUACCAUCCAGCACUUGUUUGUCUCUGACAAUUCGUUUUACUCUACUGAAUUGAGAUUUUGGCAGUGACUUUUUCACCUGUGCUGGUAAUGGAGGAGGGUGUUCCUGUCCGUGGGCUUGACGUACAAAUCUGCAGACAAUGAUCCCCCCGAGUUCAAUAUCUUGGUAUCUAGGAAGGAAACAUAUUCUUGACUUACAUGAGUUGCAUGGUAGUGCCGAGUUAAUAUCACUCACAAAAUUAUCAAGGGUCCAACGUGGCACCGUCCACAAAGCGAAUACAUCAUCUAUAAAGCGAAGCCACGAAGUGCAAUGCUUUUGAAACCAUUUGUUAGUGUAUACAUACUGUUCUUCAGAUCUAUUCGUAAAUAUAUUCGCAUAGGACGGGCCACAUUGGAUCCCAUAGCGGUGCCUCUCGUCUGUAGGUAAAACUGGUCUUGAAAAAGGAAAAAAUUAUUGAAAAGAACCAUUUCUAAACACUGGAGGGUGAACUUUUUUUGUGCAUUGUCAAUUGUUUGGUCUUGGUGCAGCUCCAUGCGGACUGCUUCCAAACCCCCUUCAUGUGGGAUGGAGGUGUAGAGGUUCUCCACAUCAAGCGUGACCAGCCACAAUUCCCCCGGAUGACUUCCCAUUGCCUGUAUUUUCUGUAAGAAAUCAGAUGUAUCUUUUAUGUAUGUUUUAUGUUGGGCUAAAUAGGGGUUUAUUAUUUUAUCCACAAAAAUUGAGAUUGGCGUUAACAGUGAGCCCAUACAAGACACUAUAGGGCAGGGGUGUCCAAACUUUUUGCAACGAGGGCCAGAUUUGGUGAAGUAAAAAUGUGCGGGGGCCGACCAUUCAGCUUGACAUUCAGCCUGACACCAAUAUCCCUUCCGAGGUAGCUAACUAGCGAUUUAGGCCCUAAGUAAGUAAUAAAAAGUAGCAACCCUGUCAAACGAGGGCAGGGCCAAAUAGUAUUCAGUGCUGUGUAGAAAUCUUUGUAGCCCCUUACAUUUGUCCAAGACCCCAUAUUGUGUUGCUUUGUUACAAUUGCUUUUUAACCCCAUUGGAACAUUAGGAUGUGGGCCCUGCUUUUUUAAUCCCUUCCAGGCCCCACUUUGCUCAUCAUGGAGCCCUAUUUCACUUCCCCAUACUAGCAGUUUCUUACUCCCCCCCUUCUCUUCAUACUGGACCUCUCCCCUUCACCCACCUCCACCAUUCUCUCCCCUGUCCCUUUCACUUCUCACUCUCACUACCGACCUCCCUCCUGUCCAGGCAGUACUUGGAAGAUGGCUGUUAGGAAGCUACAAAAUGUUGAUCAUUUUUAAGUGCUGCUGUCUCAGGGCCAUCCCUGCUGCGCUGUGCUGAGCAUGCACGUGCAUGCAAGCAUGAGCGCACUGUUUUCUACAGGCGUCAGGUCCUUCUUCUGGCCAGUCGCGUCAGGAAGAGGAGUCACGGGGUGCUGCGCAAUCAAACCCUGCGUGCAGACAAAGCGCAUGCCGCAAGUGCCCCGGUAGGCCAGUCCGACCCUGUGUGCGGCCAUAUUAAGGUAUACUUUUGGAAUUUGCUGCGGGCCAAUUAAAAAUGGAUCGCGGGCCGUAGUUUGGACACCCCUGCUAUAGGGCGUCCAGGCGGAUUCUCCAGUCUCUUAUGUAUCUUGGGUAAGACAUAAAAUACUGGUGUCUGGAAAAUCCACCUGAAAAAAUUGUGCCAGAGCUCCAUCAAUGAUUUUUAACUCUAAUGCAGAUUUCACCAGGUUAUCAGUUUUCUUCCGUAUCAAGGGGAGAGGGCUAGUGCCAAGUGAUCUAUAUGUUGUCACAUCUGACAACUGACGAUGGAUUUCGUUCACAUAAAAUGUCUUAUCCAUUAUCACCAGCGCUCCCCCCUUGUCUGCGGGUUUAACCACUAAGGUGUCAUCUCCCACUAUGUCCUGUAAGGCUCUAUAUUGAUCAUAUGAAAGAAUGCUAUGUGGUAGAUGACAUUCCCCCCUCCUAAAUCUAUUUUCAAGUUCCAGCACAUCACGAUUUACAUUAUUCAUAAAUGCUUCCACAAAAACAUUAUCCACAUUUGGUGUAUAUUGGCCCCUUAGGCCCAAGGACUUCCCAGUGUAUGUGCCCAUUGAAUCCGUCUCCAACAGUUUCUGGGUGUCACUAAAUUGUACCUUCAAUUUAAUGGUUCUGUAUAAACGGAAAAGCUCUAAGUCUGUUUCAAAAAAGUCUGGUUUAGCAGUUAGGCCAAAUGAUAAACCCUUUUCCAGUACCUGUAUUUGUUCUUUAGUCAAUUCCCGUGAAGAGAUGUUUAUCACUAUUUUGGUCUCAUUCUGUAAGCUCCCCUUCCUCUCCCUUUUCCGAUGUUUGCGCCCUCCACGCUUGCUGGCUCGGAUGUUAUGGAGCUUUGUGAUGUCUCUAAAAAAGCGUAAGUAGUGGAAGCCGAGGCAGAUCUGGAGUGUGUACCAGCUCCUUCCCGUUGCGUCUGCUGCGCUGAUCGUUCCUGAUCCAUUGUGUUCCGGUUCCUAGUAGUUUGUCCCCGUGGUCUUGCGAUGUCACUUUGCCCAGGUGCCCAUCUGUACACGUAUCCGGUCGCCUAAUCCUGCGCAUCGUGUUGAAAUUUCUGUCGCUUGCGGGACUCCACUUCAGUGCGGAACCGAGUGAUGUGUUCCGUCAGUUUUUUUUGUUCCUCCUGCAAUUAUGUCAGCCGCAAAGGAGUUCCUUCUCGUCUGCUCCUCAGUAUCAAUUCGGCUUUUCAUCUCCGAAGUUUCCAUGAAACUGUUGGUUACGCCUUGGAAUACUGGUCGAACGGACAGCUGAACCUUCCUUAAACACGAGGGUUACUUUGGAGCUGUAGGUGCGCUUCUUGAGCUCCCCACAAUAACAACAACAUAAUAGUCCUGGCGACUGAAGAUGGAACAAACUAGUGCACUACACUCCUUGGCACUACUUGCUGGGCAUAGCAGCAAUUGUUUGUAACAUAUGAAAUGUAUUAUAUGUAAAUAUUGAGAUGCAGUUUUAGACUUCACAAGGUAUUCAUUUUAAAUAAUACAAAGAAUUCAUAUAGGGUCACAAUUGUGCAAGUAGAAUCGGCCUUACUCCCAAAGAGCUGCUCAUUCAACGGGCCAUCACAUUCAUCAAUGUGCUCAUGGCUUGGAUCCUCCAAAUUGUCCCUAUGUAUGGCCACCUUAAAGGAGAACUAAACCCUAAAAAUGAAUGUAGGUUCAAAUGACAUAUUUUAUAAAGUUUGAGCUUG